AUAGUCGUGGUGGAGAAGAAGCUGUGAUGGUCGGAUGCCCUGUUCUAUUGCAGAGAGUUCUACUGGGACCUGCUCAGCAUACGCAGUGAGCAGGAGCAGAAGGAGGUGGAAGAGGUGCUGAAAAAAGCCUCCUUCCCCCUCACUGGACAUGUUUGGUUGGGACUCCGCAGGUACCUGAUGAGUGGUGAGUGGUUUUGGAUGUUUGGUGAUUCUGUGAACUACAACUACUGGGAGGCAAAGUCCGUCUGGCAAGACACCAGUCCCUGUGGUGGCAUCGACACCAGCGACCGCUUCCACUGGAGGAAUCUUCCAUGUGGAGAUCACCUUCACUUCAUCUGUUUGAAAGACAUUCAAGAAGACGACAAAAGAGUGACGUUCUUCAGUACAAGGAGACCAUAAACAGAGAGGACCAUGAAGAGAAACUCAAGUUUGGAUUAGAUUGCAACUGUGUGGCUUUAAUAAUACAUCAUUUUGUUUUCUUGACUGUUAUCACUGUGCAACCACGAAAGUUUAUAUUUUAGGUUUGGUGCUCAAAAUGUAAACAUUUAUCCGUUUAGCCGUUUUCUUGUUUCUGACACUUAUAAUUGAAUCCAAUAAAUCAACUAUAAAACUGACACGCACCAUGGCUGUAAUAUUGAAAAGCCAGUCAGGGUAGCUCUACUUCUUCCGCCACAACAAUCAAAAUAACUUCAUCUGAAGGACGUAGAAAUACUGCAGCGAUGCUUUUGUUUAUACGCAGAUAUCUACAUACUGUGUUACUUUAAAUUAUAUAAUUUCACCGGUUUUAAUUAUUGAUGACCAAUGGCUACAAUCAUUUUUUCCUCCAUUUCUAUGUAGGCGGAAAUUCUUUAACUUGAGCGACAGUUUUGUGUUUGUUGUGAACACAUUAUAAGGAAUGAGGUUAAAUGCUGUGUUUGUGUGCUCUAAUGUUCUGUAAGCUGUAAAUGUUAGCCUGGCUAACAAGUUUAUUAUCUUGUUGUGUUAAACGCUAUUUUAUGGGGUUAAAGGUUAGAAAAGAAUGCUCAGCACUGACAUAAAAAUUAUUUGAAAGUAUAAAGUAAAGAAUUAAGUUUAUGUUGAGCAGGGGUUCUCAACGGGAGCGUUCAGAGAACGUCGGGGGGCGCUGGAAGCAAUAUUUUUGAAAAGG